rnacentral:rRNA from 1 species
CGAACGCUGGCGGCGUGCUUAACACAUGCAAGUCGAACGGUGAAGCGCCUUCCUUUUUGGUGGGUGUGGAUGAGUGGCGAACGGGUGAGUAACACGUGAGUAACCUGCCCCCUUCUUCUGGAUAACCGCAUGAAAGUGUGGCUAAUACGGGAUAUUCUGGGUCUGUCGCAUGAUGGGUCUGGGAAAGAUAUUGUUUCGGUGGGGGAUGGGCUCGCGGCCUAUCAGCUUGUUGGUGGGGUGAUGGCCUACCAAGGCGGUGACGGGUAGCCGGCCUGAGAGGGUGGACGGUCACACUGGGACUGAGACACGGCCCAGACUCCUACGGGAGGCAGCAGUGGGGAAUAUUGCACAAUGGGCGCAAGCCUGAUGCAGCGACGCCGCGUGAGGGAUGGAGGCCUUCGGGUUGUGAACCUCUUUCGCCAGUGAAGCAGGCCUGCCUCGUUUGUGGGUGGGUUGACGGUAGCUGGAUAAGAAGCGCCGGCUAACUAC